GCUGGGCGUGGUGAUGUGCGCCUGUAGUCCCAGCUACUUGGGAGGCUGAGGCAGGAGAAUCGCUUGAACCUGGGAGACGGAGGUUGCAGUGAGCCAAGAUUGUGCCACUGCACUCCAGCCUGGGUGACAGAGUGAGACUCUGUCUCAA
ensembl:misc_RNA Metazoa_SRP Metazoan signal recognition particle RNA